AAAGCUUUAAGUUAAAAAAACUAAUAACCUUCAAAGUUAUUAAUACAAAAUAUUUGUAAGCUUUA
rnacentral:tRNA from 1 species